rnacentral:rRNA from 1 species
UACGUAGGGGGCAAGCGUUGUCCGGAAUUACUGGGCGUAAAGGGCGCGCAGGCGGUAUAUCAAGUCAGCUGUCAAAGACUGGGGCUCAACCCUGGUAUGCGGUUGAAACUGAUAUGCUGGAGUGCUGUAGAGGCAAGUGGAAUUCCCAGUGUAGCGGUGAAAUGCGUAGAUAUUGGGAAGAACACCGGUGGCGAAGGCGACUUGCUGGGCAGCAACUGACGCUGAGGCGCGAAAGCCAGGGGAGCAAACGGGAUUAGA